GAUGAACGCUGGCGGCGUGCUUAACACAUGCAAGUCGAACGAGAAGUGAAGACGGAAACCUUCGGGCGGAAGGCUUUAUUUCGAGUGGCGGACGGGUGAGUAACGCGUGGGUAACCUGCCUCAUACAGGGGGAUAACAGUUGGAAACGACUGUUAAUACCGCAUAAGACCACAGCACCGCAUGGUGCGGGGGUAAAAACUCCGGUGGUAUGAGAUGGACCCGCGUUCGAUUAGCCAGUUGGCGGGGUAACGGCCCACCAAAGCGACGAUCGAUAGCCGAUCUGAGAGGAUGCCCGGCCACAUUGGGACUGAGACACGGCCCAAACUCCUACGGGAGGCAGCAGUGGGGAAUAUUGCACAAUGGGGGAAACCCUGAUGCAGCGACGCCGCGUGAGUGAAGAAGUAUUUCGGUAUGUAAAGCUCUAUCAGCAGGGAAGAAAAUGACGGUACCUGAGUAAGAAGCCCCGGCUAACUACGUG
rnacentral:rRNA from 1 species